CCCAUCCGAACGACUAGACAGCUGUCCUUGUCAGCCCCUCCGUCCUGCAUCACUGACAAGGGAGAACCACGCCGGAAAAUCGGGAUGGACACUAUCUUUGUAAAUAACGACCCAAACGUGUGAGGAAGGUACCGGAGGGAGGGGGGGGUGUUAUCAAAUAAUUGAAACUAAUCUCAUGGUGACGUUUGUUAUCGGGUGUUAUCAUAUGAUAUCUAUAUCAUCACAUCGUGAUCGCUUGCGAAAUACACAGACGUCAAGUCCAGCGAAAAUUACAAAUUUCUAAAUAUAUUCAUGGGUCAAAGUUCAGCGAAUAUUGAGCAACAUCUAUUCUGUAUAUUGAUCACUGACACCCCCCGAUAAAACAGUGUGGGUUGAGUUUCGUAGAGUCAUCAAAGUCGUAUAGUUAAUAUUCUUUUUAAAACAUGGAUCCAAAGUUUCAAGGUCAAGGUCAAGGUUACCCCCCUCCUCCAGCAGGAGCUUACCCACCUCCUCAGAAUCAAUAUGGAGGUCCUCCACCGGGGUAUGGCUAUGACCAGCAGCAUGGACACCAUGGUGGUAGUAAUGUGGUUGUAGUUGGUCAGCCAAGUCAUCAACAUACAGUUAUUGUAGAGAGACAGGGAGUAAACCAUGUGCUACAUUUUUGUAUCAGUCUGUUUUUCUGGCCCUGGGUUAUCGUUUGGAUCGUACUGUGUAUUACUGACAACCCUUAGUUAAAGAAAAAACGUAGAAAUUGAAGAAAGUUUGAAAUACUUGUGAUUUAAAGCGAAUUCAGCAUCACUCAAUAUAAUAUUUGGUCAACUUGGUUCUCAGAUAUUUUUGUAGAUUUUUCUUGCUUUACAAAAGUGAAUAAGGAUAAAACUAAAGGCCCAUUAGAGUUAGUUCGUUAUUUUUUUUAUGGCCGCAAUUUUUAUGUGUCCAGACAAAUUGUAAAAGACCCGAGCACUUAAUAUUCUAAUGAAGAUAACAGCCAACAACUACAAAAUGACCCACUGCACCGGUUUGCAACACACCACAGUUACAUAGUUCCAUUUAAAUAUUUCACAGCAGCAGAAAAUUAUAUAUAACUUAAAUGAAUAGACGAUAUGGUGGCGCCUUUUAAACAUGCAUUAUGGAAGAUUAGAUAAAAAGAUGGCAGUUCUCACUAUAAUAGUUAAAAUCUAUAUGAUGUAAUGGGAAUAUGCUGAAAAUUUUAGUCAAAUCGAUCCACUCUUAGUCGAGAAAACCUUAUUUUAACAUCACUAUAGCCUAGAUUGUCAUUGUUACCGCGGUCGCGAUAAUUAAUAAAAUUUUCGAUUAUCCAGUUUUGUGUUUAAUCAUCAACGGUCGUUGAUCAGCAGAUCGGAUUCAAAUCCAUAGAAAAUCGGAUACAUAUAAGACGUCAUCCAGAGUUGAUUAUGGUCUUUCCAUGUUAACAAAUGUCUAAUUAAUAGUUUCUAUAACAUUUCAGACCUAGACAAAGACUUGCAGUAGGUAGAUUUAUCUCUUGCAUAAUGUAUGUUUAACUCAUUGCUCGUGCACCAUAUUAAGUAUGUUUUAGUCCAUAUGUUUAUGAAUUCACUGUUGAAUUGAACAAACAACAUGCUUAAACCUUUAAAAUACUGAAAUAAUUUCAAAAAGAGAAAAAAUGUAAAAUAAGUAAUUUAUUAUGUACAAAUCUUUAUUUGUUUUAUUUAUCUUGAAUUAUAUAAAUAAUUUUUAUAUUUUGCUUUCAUGAA